AGAGUUUGAUCCUGGCUCAGGAUGAACGCUGGCGGCGUGCCUAACACAUGCAAGUCGAGCGAUUUACUUCGGUAAAGAGCGGCGGACGGGUGAGUAACGCGUGGGCAACCUGCCCUGUACACACGGAUAACAUACCGAAAGGUAUGCUAAUACGAGAUAAUAUGCUUUUAUCGCAUGGUAGAAGUAUCAAAGCUCCGGCGGUACAGGAUGGACCCGCGUCUGAUUAGCUAGUUGGUAAGGUAACGGCUUACCAAGGCGACGAUCAGUAGCCGACCUGAGAGGGUGAUCGGCCACAUUGGAACUGAGACACGGUCCAAACUCCUACGGGAGGCAGCAGUGGGGAAUAUUGCACAAUGGGCGAAAGUCUGAUGCAGCAACGCCGCGUGAGCGAUGAAGGCCUUCGGGUCGUAAAGCUCUGUCCUCAAGGAAGAUAAUGACGGUACUUGAGGAGGAAGCCCCGGCUAACUACGUGCCAGCAGCCGCGGU
rnacentral:rRNA from 1 species